CGUAAAGCGCAUGCAGGUGGUUUGUUAAGUUCAGAUGUGAAAGACCCGGGGCGUCAACCUCCGGAAUUGCAUUUGAAACUGGUAAACUAGAGUACUGUAGAGGGGGGUAGGAAUUUCAGGUGUAGCGGUGAAAUGCGUAGAGAUCUGAAGGAAUACCGGUGGCGAAGGCGGCCCCCUCGGACAGAUACUGACACUCAGAUGCGAAAGCGUGGGGAGCAAACAGGAUUAGAUACCCCUGGUAG
rnacentral:rRNA from 1 species